rnacentral:rRNA from 1 species
CCUACGGGAGGCAGCAGUGAGGAAUAUUGGUCAAUGGUCGGGAGACUGAACCAGCCAAGCCGCGUGAGGGAUGAAGGUACAGAGUAUCGUAAACCUCUUUUGUCAGGGAACAAAGGCGGGGACGUGUCCCCGGAUGAGUGUACCUGAAGAAAAAGCAUCGGCUAACUCCGUGCCAGCAGCCGCGGUAAUACGGAGGAUGCGAGCGUUAUCCGGAUUUAUUGGGUUUAAAGGGUGCGCAGGCGGUCUGUUAAGUCAGCGGUCAAAGCCCGGGGCUCAACCCCGGCCCGCCGUUGAAACUGGCAGUCUAGAGUUGGAGAGAAGUAUGCGGAAUGCGAGGGGUAGCGGUGAAAUGCAUAGAUAUCGCGCAGAACUCCGAUUGCGAAGGCAGCAUGCCGGCUCCACACUGACGCUGAGGCACGAAAGCGUGGGUAUCGAACAGGAUUAGAUACCCUGGUAGUC